AGAGCACCCGGACCCGCGGCGGCAGCGGCAGCGGCAGCGACGCUACCCACCCUCUUCCCCAACACCCACCUAGCCAGCGAGUCACCGAGCCACGGGCCCUCGGGCCGGCGCCUCUGUUCCUGCCCAGCUGGAUUUGGGGGGCAGCAUUGCCUGGCGCAGGGAGAUCAAAUGAGACUGCAAAGAAGCAUAAAAUGAAUAGACAAUCCAACCAACCAAAGGAAAUUGCUUUGGAGAUGAGGAAACAAACUUACGUAUUCUCUUCAGAGGACAAGAGAAGAUGUUACAUUCUCUGCAUGAGGACAAUUCUGCAGCAUCAAAAUCGAAUAAUAUUUGUUUUCUGGCAGCAGAAUUUUGUAUCAUAUUUCUAAAGACAGUAAGCACUUGGGUGGACGUCAAUGAAUACUAAACACUAAUUGAUCUGAUACAGCCGUAUGCACAUACACAGAUAUACACAGUGGCUUGUAAUGGUUGAAAAAUUACAGUUUGGUUCUAUUAAAAGAUCUGUCACUUUUAGGUCAGAGUGGGAUUUUGGAGGGAGAGUCUCCCACAAUAGAAAACUAUCCUGA
rnacentral:lncRNA from 1 species